UGAUUUUGCUGGUGACUGAGCGGCGGACGGGUGAGUAACGCGUGGGUAACCUGCCUCAUACAGGGGGAUAACAGUUAGAAAUGACUGCUAAUACCGCAUAAGCGCACAGCUUCGCAUGAAGCAGUGUGAAAAACUCCGGUGGUAUGAGAUGGACCCGCGUCUGAUUAGCUGGUUGGUGAGGUAACGGCCCACCAAGGCGACGAUCAGUAGCCGACCUGAGAGGGUGACCGGCCACAUUGGGACUGAGACACGGCCCAAACUCC
rnacentral:rRNA from 1 species